UUUUUUCAGAGAGUAGUUUCCUCUCUUUGUUUAAUCCAUUGUUGCAAAAUGGGAACUGGAAAGAGAAUGAGCAGGGUGCAUCCUGGUAGUUGCCACUCCAGUGAGAAUGCCCUUUAUACCACCCAGCGGUAAAAAGGAGCGGGUAUCAAGCACACUAUAAAGUAGCUCAUAACACCUCGCUUAGCCACACCCCCACGGGACACAGCAGUGAUAAAAAUUAAGCAAUAAAUGAAAGUCUGACUAAGUUAUACUAUUCAGGACUGGUAAAUCUCGUGCCAGCCACCGCGGUCAUACGAUUAGGCCAAAUUAAUAGACACCCGGCGUAAAGUGUGUUUUAGAAUACAAAUAAUAAAUAAAAUCAAACCUUAACUAAGCUGUAAAAAGCCUCAGCUAACGUAAGAUAUAUAACGAAAGUGAUUUUAGAGAAUCUGACUACACGAUAGCUAAGACCCAAACUGGGAUUAGAUACCCCACUAUGCUUAGCCCUAAACAUAAAAAAUUAUAAACAAAAUUAUUCGCCAGAGUACUACUAGCAACAGCUUAAAACUCAAAGGACUUGGCGGUGCCUUACAUCCCUCUAGAGGAGCCUGUUCUAUAAUCGAUAAACCCCGAUCUACCUCACCAGUCUUUGCUAAAUCAGCCUAUAUACCGCCAUCUUCAGCAAACCCUAAAAAGGGACUAAAGUAAGCACAAGUAUUAACAUAAAAACGUUAGGUCAAGGUGUAGCUUAUAGAGUGGAAAGAAAUGGGCUACAUUCUCCGAACCGGAGAAUUAGAAUUUACACGAAAACCUAUGUGAAAUCAAAAGUUAAAGGUGGAUUUAGCAGUAAAUUAAGAAUAGAGAGCUUAAUUGAAUGUGGCCAUAAGGCACGCACACACCGCCCGUCACCCUCCUCAAAUAAAGCAUCAAUCAUAUCCCAAAUAAUAUAAAGAUAUCAACCUAUGAGAGGAGACAAGUCGUAACAAGGUAAGUGUACUGGAAAGUGCACUUGGAUAAUACAAAGU
rfam:Myotis davidii contig75418, whole genome shotgun sequence.